AAAAGAUGCUAAAAGCAGUCCUUCAAAAGGAAAUGAAAGGAUACCAGAGAAUGACUUGAAGCCGUAUGAAGAAUUACACUGGGUAAUCUCCAUCUGUGAAAGACUGUAUAGGAAGUAGGAUGCCUCCUGCUACUACAGAAGCUGGAGAGUGGAUAUGUGACCCAAAUCAGCCACAUCAGGACUUGGCAUCUUAAAGGACUGACACGAUGGUCCAGGGACAUUAUUCGAUAAGGCAGCGGCAGGGUUGAGAGUCCAUUGGAUGGUGAAGGUACUCUGUUGGGAACACCUGGUUUCUGCCCUCAAAGUGCUUAGAGUACAGGAGACGGGACAGAACUAUAAAUAAAUUGUGCCUGGACAGGUGUAUCGUGGACACUGUGGUACACUGCCAGUCCCCCCGUCAAGACUAAGACACUUUGCCCCCACCUAUGGGAAUGUGUUAAUGUUAAAGGCUCACAGAUGAGUACAUCCUCAGGAAUUGCCCUUGGCUCACAGGAGCUGCCUCCCGCAAGGUUAUGACCUCUAGAGCUGGGGCAGUCCACAUCCCAUGACAGCGACUGGUUGCUGAGAGGGUACAAGGACCAUCUUCGAAGCUUGCCUCCACUGUAGACAACACUGAAGGGUCAUCCCAGUCCCAGAGCUCCCUGCGGGAUCAGCUGAGG
rnacentral:lncRNA from 1 species